AUAUUUAAUACUGUUUUCAUUCCCUAGUGAUGACUGGUUCUCCAGCCUCUGCUGUUUUAGUCAUCUGGGUUAUCGGGGCAGUGACCUAACAAGGGGCUAUUUCUGCUUAUUGACUUUGGCAGGGGGCUGUGUUUAAAGUUAACAUCUUAUCUUUACAGCUAUUGAUCAACAGUCUAUUUUAGUGCUCUCUCCUUGUGUUGCAGGUUGGAGGAGGUGACGUUAAAGGAUUUUAAAGCAGCUAUUGAUCGGGAAGGAAAUCACCGGUAUCACUUCAAAGCACUGGAUCCUGAGUUUGGCACUGUCAAAGAGGAGAUUUUCCAUGAUGAUGAUGCCAUCCCUGGAUGGGAAGGGAAAAUUGUAGCUUGGGUGGAAGAAGACCAUGGAGAGAAUUAAUGCCAAGUAUCAGAUUGAGGGCUUAUGGAACCUGGUCACUCCCUGGCUGCUUCACUCAGGAAAGGGAACUAAAACCAGAAUACACUAAGAAGUUUCUAGUUUGUAUGCCAAAACAGAAGCUUCUCCAAGCAUGAUGGCUACAGGUCAGUCCUAUUUCUGUGCCUGGCAUAUCUGGUACUUAAAAU
rnacentral:sRNA from 1 species